GAUAACUUUGAUCAUAACCAUUCGUUUGGUUAACUCUUUAGAUAAGUUUUUUCUUCUCGCAAAAAUAAGAGUGAAACUGAAUAAACAUUAAAUGAUAAUAAUCGUAUAACUUACAGAGAUACACAUACACAAUGCACAAUAUAACAAGAGAGGGUUCAUUAAUCAAAUGACAAUGAUCAAUCAUUAUCGAUCCAAUCUAAAGAAAGCUUAGUUAAUUCAGUUUGUAAUACUGUUGUUGAUGAUGACAAUGAUGAAAAUAAACCAGCAACAAAAUUGAAGAGACUAAAUAAAAAAGAAGAUGAAAAAUUGAAAAGAUGAAUCAACAAGAUAGAGUUGAGAUGCCGAUAAUGAGGGCCACCAGAAAGGGAUUGAGUGACACGAGCAUAAAGUUCAAGACUUAUGAGGAAGGUGAACAGCAUUAAUCAAUUUUUCGAUCAUUAAUUAACCAUUCUAAAAUAGAUAGUCAAUCAAACAGUUGAGCAAAAAAGUGAAAAAAGAGUGGAAGUUGUCCAUCCUAUCAGGUGUUAUCGAAAAUUUACAUUAAAAAAUGAAAUUUACAUAUUUGAAGUGGGAAAUUAUGCCAUCCUUUAUCGUGUUCAGCUCGUUUGGAUAUGCUAUUUCCCCAUGUCAUGUAGACCUUUCACCAAAGAUUUAGGUACUCUUUGCCUUUCACAGCUAAAAGGGUUACUUUGAUAACACGUGAAACCAAUUCGCACAGUAACAUGCUGUGUCUCUGGUAGUCGCCACAUCUAUUUUUAGACAAAUAAAUGGAAAAUUUGAGCGAUUUAAUGAUUACACUUGAACAACAGACAAUUUAAAUAUUGUUUAAAUCACACAUAAUGUAUUAAUAAUUAGACACAAAUUUAUAAACUAGACAAAAGACAGUUAUGAUGAAAUUAAAAUUACCGGCUUGAGUAUUGAGGGAAAAACUAAUGGCUUAAGCUUUAGCUAUCGAGCCGCGUAAAAUGAGAUUCAAUUAAUCGAUCAGAUAUAAAAGACUGAUGGUGAUAAAAUUUCGCAUCUUUUUUUUGUUAUCAUCAUGACUUUUUUUUCUUCCUCUCUCAUUAUACACUUGACAGUUUGUCAUUCAAACACAUCAAUCUUUCUUUGUUCUUGUUCUUUUUUCAUGUUCACUCAUCACUUGGUUUCAUCCUUUUCUUAACCCUCAUUAUCAAUACAUUUUUUGCCCAACUUUAGUUACAUCUUACAUCAGCUUCAUCUCAGCUGAAAUUCAACUCCUAUUCAACUUGGAGUCUAUUCAUGUUCUUGUGUUCAAACAAUUAUCAUUUAAUUCAUUGAUUGGAAUGUUGUCAGCAAAAUUGGAUUCCCUGCCAACCUCACAUGGCUGUAUUUAUUCAAUGAAAUCAAAAAACUCAUUCUCAUACUCAUAGAAGCAUAUAAGCAACUGCACACAGACUAACGAUACAAGCUAGUAUCAAAUGAUUAACAUUUUGAAUUCAAUGUAAAUGUUUCGUAAGGUUUACACAAUGGAUGAGUGUGUCAAUUACAAUCUUGACAUAAACAAACAAUGUCUACCGUCUAAAAUUGGUAUCCAGUUGAAGACACACAUCAGGACUGACAUGAGGACGUUCAAUCAAGACUAAAGGCAACCCAAACAACCUAUUGAUUAUUUAUCAUGAUUAGUACAACCUAAAACUCACAGGUUAUCACACUGGAAAUUGUAUCAUAUCAAUCAUUUGACAAGCCUCUCUUAACCCACCUACCACUGCAAGUUAAUCCUGUCUUGUUUAAUAGUAAUGGAUUAGGAUGGUAAAAAAUGUCUACAAUAUUGAUCUCAAUGGGAACUUUUGUUAUGCCUGAUAUUUCUGGAGUAAUUGAAUAAUGGCUUCCCCAUUAACCAGUAAAUUCAUUGGGAUUGUACUUUUUUUUCAAAGCAAAGCGAAGAGGAUUAUCAGGAAUCAUUCCAAAUAAUUGGAUGUUCAUUAUUAUGGUUAACAUGAAAGUCGAUGUAAAAUAAUGAUGAUAAUCAAUUGUGAUGCAAACCUGUUUUUGUUGCAUAGUUACCGAAUUAAAUUUACCCAAAGAGUGUAUUGUUUAUAAUCAAUUAGGAUUUAUUUUUAUUUUCCUUGCAUCAAUCAAUAAACACAACUUGAUUUAACUUGAUUCACACAGACAAACAAAACAAGAAUAAAUUGUCUAGUAAUUCACAAUUUUCUUUGUUUUCACUUGAUUCCAAUGUUAAUGGAAUCACAUCAAGUGUCAACAAAUACAGCAUGUAAUAAUAUUGUUUCAACAAUAAAUAAAUCAAUAAACGGAUUAAAAGUUCAUUUAUAAAUCAUUACUAAUCCAAGAUGAAAGGUUAUUCAAUUGAAAUUCAUUGUCUGUUGACAUACAACAUUCAUUUCCAUGAUUACAUUUGGCUACUCAACUAUACAAAAAAAUAACUGAAUGAAACAGACGAUUCAAAAUAACGAUUACUAUCAUGAUGAUUACUAAUGAUUAUGGUCAUGGUUGUUUUAAGAUGAAAUGCAAUUCCUAUUGAUUUUUAUUGACAAAAUAAUAAACUGGUUGUAUUGCGUUUACAUAAUACAAAAGGUAAAUAUUAUUUCAUAUGUCAAACCUAUUUUUAUAUUAAUAUCUCAUUCAUUUUCAUCUACCAUUGAGGUAACCGUUUAUGAAUGGGUUUCAGUUGGGUUGACAAUCAUAUUAACUGUAUUUAAUCAAUACUGGGUAAAUUAAUUGUCACCAAGAAUUAGCAAAACAAUAUAAAUCUGAUAAAUUUAAGGGAAUUCAAAAUUUGCGCCAAGCUUAUCCAUGAGUUGACAUUAUGCUUAACGGUAAGCUUAGCCGUUUAUUUGUUGAUGACUUUGCUUUUUCAAUUAUUUAUUGUAACUUUCAAUUGUAUUUGUAACUUAUUAAACCAAGUGCUAGUUGAUUAUAAAAGUGUUAAAUAGUCAAUUGACACUACCAUUAGUUGCUGUUAACGUUGGCUGGUUUAAAAAUAGUUUCUCAUAUUUGAUUUGACUUGCUUGCUCGCUCAAUUCAUCAUCACCAUGUUUUCAAGUAUACUUAAGAUGAUUAACUGUCUUAUUUGCUUUCACCGUCAUCUCUAUUAUCUUCCAUUAUUAUGAAUUUUCCUGAGGGAAGAAGCCUGAAAUUGAAAAACAUUUACUCCAAAAAAAUGGAACAAGUAAAAAUGAUUAUUAUAAAAUGAGGUUUACUUUUUCGAUCGAUAUGUAGAGCUAAUAACAGAAAAAGAUUGCUUUUUUCAUUUCUCCAAAGUGUUUUAUUUGGACUACUUUGAAUGUAAACAUUUUGGUACCUUCGAUUAAUCAUCAUAAAUCACAAUCUAGUUUCUUUCAACAGUAAGUUAAUCAUUCUUACCCAUUUUCCAUAAAUCACAGUCAAUUUUGGGCCUCAAGUCAAAGAAACUUGAAAACAUUGUUACCGUUAAAUCAUGUUAGUGUUGCGUUCAAUUGAUACAAGUUGUUGCUUUUAUUUUUAAUGUUACUCUUCAUGUUAGACAUUUAUAUUAAUUUGCAGGGAAUUCAUGUUAACCCUCUAGUUAAACUGAAAUCAGAAAUUGAUAGCAAAAUCUACUGUUAAUUAAUUAUGUUUCAAGUAUUCAUCUAUUAUAGUUUUUACAUCUGAAAAGCUAAACUCAACUCAACCCUGUUGCUUCAAGUCUUUCAACUCUUUAAUACAAUGAUUUGUUCUGAUUUAAUUAAAAAUAACUACAUCAACCUGACUUUACAAUCAAUUGUUUGGUAAAUAUUUAAAAUAUUUCCUCUCAAAAUCUUAAUUAAUGAAAGUUAAUUCUACUUUCACUUUUCCCUGACUUUACAUGUAAUACUUCAAUUAAUGUUUACUCCAACACAAAUGAAAGGGUUUCCUUUUUGUUGUCAACUUGAACCAGAUUUAACCAAAUAUUUAGUCAACCUAAAACUUACAAGAUGCAUUUUAAUUGAUCAACUGACUUAUAUUAAGAUGCAAAUUAAAUCAGGAUUAAUUGGCAAUUCAAUUAGCUGAUUUUUUAUAUAGGAUGAUGACAGGCUGAAUUGAAGUUACAAAUUUUGAAACCACCAAACCUUUCCAAGCAAACGAACAACAGUGAACAAGUUUCAAUCAUUAUGCAGAUUAUUCAAUGUAUUGAAUUUCACAUUUCACCGAGUUUCGAAUGUUCCAAAUAAAAUUGUAUCUUCCAAAGUCAACUUGAAAAUAUAUUAUACGAUAUUUAACAUAAUCAAAUUAUGUAAAUCAUAAUGAUAAACAUGGAAAAAAGAGAAAGGUUAAGAAGCAUAAAUUUUUUGUUUACCAUUACAGAUGACAAUGUAAAGAGGAUAACAAAAUGAAGUAUCAAAAGGAUUGAAAUUUAUGUAACCAAAUAGGAUUAGGAUUUACAAUUGACCAGAACAAGGAUCAAAUGGUUAUUUAAUAAUCUAAUGAAAAGGGUAACAAGUUGAUUUGAAAAUGGACUGAUUAUUUUGUUGAUUGGUUGAAAGUGGAUAAGCUUAACGUUUAGGUGAUAACUCUUUAGGCAAUGUAACCUGUCAAAUGUCUUGUCCCAUUGCCCAUUGAAUUUUUGCGCUGAAUUAUCAUUGAACUAUUACGAUGAUGGCUAUAAUAAAGGAUAACAUGAUGGUUGACAUGAAGGAAACUCGUUUGUAGACGAAAUGAUCACAAUUUUAGGAAACAUAAAAAUGUUUUCUUGAAAUGUAAUUUCUUAUACCAACAGAGAGAGACAAAAUGAAAAAUACAUCCAGUAAUGGUAACAAUAUCUUGUGAAUGAUAUAAUUCUGACUGCUUGGAUAGUCUUAUUUAUCAAGCCUCAACUGAUUAAUCUGACAUAAACUGGCAAACUCAAUGUUCAAACAUGUGAAAAAAUUGAAGUUAAUAUGUUGAGGAAAACAGGAAGAGUAUUUUUUUUCGUUGCUGCUCUGAGUUGAGAAUCAAAAUAACAUCAUGCUUAUUGAUUGAACAUGAAAAUAUCAUCAGAUGGUAAUAAAAUAACAAAAUGAAAGGCCCAAAUACUCAUCAUUGGUAAACAUCAACAGCCAGAAGACCAGAAAAAGCAAUUUAAACAAAAAUUCAAUUUAUUUUAUUUCCCAUUUAAUAAUGGCGCUUCUAGCUUGCUGUAUUUGACCGCCAUUUAUUUUGGCUUUUUAUACCCCUUCACUUGUUUACCUUAACCAUUUGAUUAUCUUAUUUUUGGUAAUUAAUUAAACUAAGUUCAUUAAUUGACUUUCUAUCUGUUUGAUUUGUGAUAUCUUGUCUUGAAGUUUCCAAUUUUUACCUAAGUGAAUCUAUACCCAAAUCUGGUUAAUCUGGUAAUGAUUGCUUGCUGGUUCUCGUCUAUGUGUUAAGGUUGGAUAUAUGUUUCCCUGUCAUCAGCAUUAUUCGUUGGUUAAGUUUAAUUGGGUUCAAAAUUUCAAACGUCAAUUUAUAUUGCCAGAAAUACUAGAUGUUAUGGAUCAAGCCUACGAAGAAAUUGAGUUUAUUGAUUAUCCCUAUUAUCAUUACCGCGAUCACCAUAAUUGCAUUUAAAGAUUUAUUGAUUAUGUUUAUGCAUUUAUUAAUAUCAUUUCGACAUGGAGAUGAAUUUCAUGAUCAUCAACAAUAAUAACAUGGUUACCAAUCAAUAAGCUGGUGUUAAAGACAAUAAAAAACAAUCAAUUUUAACUCAAUUUUAAUAUUACCAUCACCAAAGAUAUCUACGGCUUCUUUCCUUAUGAUUUAACUGGAAAUGGUAAUUUAAUUUAUCCAUGGAGAAUCCUGAUGACUUCAAAAUAACAUUAAGCCUACUCAGCUGAUUGUAAAUAUUUCAGCAGUUAAUUAAUACUCUUACAUAGAA